rnacentral:rRNA from 1 species
CCAGACUCCUACGGGAGGCAGCAGUGGGGAAUAUUGCACAAUGGGGGAAACCCUGAUGCAGCAACGCCGCGUGAGUGAAGAAGUAUUUCGGUAUGUAAAGCUCUAUCAGCAGGGAAGAAGAAAGACGGUACCUGACUAAGAAGCCCCGGCUAACUACGUGCCAGCAGCCGCGGUAAUACGUAGGGGGCAAGCGUUAUCCGGAUUUACUGGGUGUAAAGGGAGCGCAGGUGGCAAGGCAAGCCAGAAGUGAAAGCCCGGGGCUUAACCCCGCGGAUUGCUUUUGGAACUGUCUGGCUGGAGUGCAGGAGGGGCAGGCGGAAUUCCUGGUGUAGCGGUGAAAUGCGUAGAUAUCAGGAGGAACACCGGUGGCGAAGGCGGCCUGCUGGACUGCGACUGACGUUGAGGCCCGAAAGCGUGGGGAGCAAACAGGAUUAGAUACCCCGGUAA